rnacentral:rRNA from 1 species
AUUGAACGCUGGCGGCAGGCCUAACACAUGCAAGUCGAACGAGUGGCGGACGGGUGAGUAAUGUCUGGGAAACUGCCUGAAGGAGGGGGAUAACUACUGGAAACGGUAGCUAAUACCGCAUACCAUCGGAUGUGCCCAGAUGGGAUUAGCUAGUAGGUGGGGUAAAGGCUCACCUAGGCGACGAUCCCUAGCUGGUCUGAGAGGAUGACCAGCCACCGUGGAACGCAGACACGGGCCAGACUCCUACGGGAGGCAGCAGUUGGAAAUAUUGCACAAUUGGCGCCAGCCUGAUGCAGCCAUGCCUCGUGUAUGAAGAAGGCCUUCGGGUUGUAAAGUACUUUCCGCAGAGAGACGUUACCCGCAGCAGAAGCACCGGCUAACUCCGUGCCAGCAGCCGCGGUAAUUC